rnacentral:lncRNA from 1 species
GGGAGUGGCAAAUCAAAGGCAUUGCAGCCUCUUUCAUCACUGCCGAUUGCUGAUGCCAACCAUGUGCCAAGUGCUUAAUACGUCACCUUAAAUCUUCUCAUCCACCCUCAGAGCUGCAGCAUCAACCCAGUGCCCUGACUUUCAAGACGACUAUGAAAACACCCCAACUGCUGCUAAAUUACCAGCAACAAGGAUCUGAUGGCCGGUUUGACACAAAUUAGAACAACCUUGAUAGCU